rnacentral:lncRNA from 1 species
ACUGGCUGUUCCCAGACAAACCUCAACAAAUCAGUUUUCUCUCUUUCUCACAGGGUCGCCGUGGGAAACCAGGAGAUCCAGGGACCCCGGGACCACCUGGUCUCCCAGGACACUCUGAAGGAGCAGCGAUUAAGGGCGACAAAGGAGACACCGGCUCCUCGGGAGAAACCGGAGAAAAAGGCGACAGAGGAGAUCCAGUAUGUAUUCUUAAAUAAAUGCCAUCGUAUCUUCUGGAAAAAAAAAAAAAA